UCCUAAGGCUUUUAUUUUUCCUUGACUAAGUAGCCUUAUAUUAUCAUAAUUUCCUUCAUACUUCCUUUAAUGCCAUAAUUUCAUUCGGCUUGCUACAAAUACACAAGCAAUGAUAUGAUUAUCUAAAUUUUUCAACUAUCUUGUAUUUAUAACUUAAUCUAUUGUAGUUAUUUUCUUCUAUUAGGUGGUUAAAGAUAGAAAUGUGGUUAUUCAGCUUGUGAGAAGAGCUGAAUCUGCCGGUUUCAAGGCAAUAGUCCUUACUGUGGACACUCCAAUUCUUGGUCGCAAGGAGGCUGAUAUUAAAAACAGAUUUACAAUGCCACCACACCUUGUAUUGAAUUUUUUUGAAAGAUUGGAUCUUGGGAAGCUGGAUAAGGUUUCUUUGUCACAAUCAGUGUAUCCGCUGUGAUGUUCAAGUCAAAUGAAAUUGUUAAGAAACAAACCUCUUUAAAGGGAGAUAAGAAGCCUCUGCUCUUCUUGGUGUAUCUUUUGAUCUUUCAUAGCUUUCUUUGCUGCAAUGUUUUAGACAUUGUUUAACUCCAACAUCGACUAGCGAGGAAAAAUAUCUAGUUGGCAUCCUUGCCAUUGACUUUCAGAUAUAUUGGUGUGCCAAGAAGCAAUGGUUUUCAAGUGUUUAUUGUUGAAUGUAGCGUUGGCCUCACCCUAUUUUAAUAAAUAAAGUUGACUUUUAUGUAAUUGUUCACUUUUUUAGUUGAUCGUAGCGUCAGAGAAGCCGACACUAUCUAUUUUGUUGACUACAACUUGUUGACUUUAGCGACGGUCAUCCGACCCAAAAGAAUUUUUUCAAAAGACGUAUCAACCGAUAUAAACUUGCGUCAUAUGUUUUAUUUUGUUGCUAGUGUUGGCUUAGAUCUAUUAGCGUUUUAGUUUAGAUCCGACACCGACGCUAAUCGGACACUAAAUCAACGUAAGCGUCGAAUUUUGAUCUAUUAGCGUGGACUUUUGGCCGACGCUAAAAUCAGUUUUUUUUAAUAGUGAUUUUCUUAUGAUGUAUAUAAGUGAUUCACUAUAUUCUACCAUUUGAAAAGAAACUUUUUGACUAAAUUCUACGUAGAGCCGGCCCAAGGGAGAGACAUUGCUUUAUGCCUCGCCAAAAAAUAUUUUUUUACUCUAAUUUUUAACA